ensembl:Y_RNA Y_RNA Y RNA
GGCUGGUCUGAAAGUAGUGAGUUAUCUCAAUUGAUUGUUCACAGUCAGUCACAGACGAAACUCCUUGUUCUACUCUUUCCCCCUUCUCACUGCUGCACUUGAUGAAUAGUCUUUA